GCGGCCGCGGGGACUGUAGGCUGCGACCUCGGCGUCCUGCUCCGGCUUCGGCCGCCGCCCCGCACACGUGCUUCCCCUUUGAUCUCGGCUCAGACUCUCUUCCUCCUCCCCUGGCCCGGCUUCCCGCCGGUCCUGGCCAGCCCCCCGCUCUCGGCCGAGGCCGGAACCCUUCCCCCUGACCCGCGGGCCGGCCUCUGGCCUCGCGCCCGGCCGCCAGCACGCCUCUCCCUCCGCGCCGGCCGCGAAAGGACGGGCGAGGGCGGACGUCCGGCGCGCGGGCAGCUGCUCCCUUCCCUGCGGUGCCCACCGGGGACCCCGCUCCCGGGCCCAGGACGCAGGAGCUCCGCGCGCACACGCGUGCCCUCCCCGCACGUUCCUUUCAGGCGUUCCCUUCCGCCCAGCGCUGACCUGCGACGCUGUCACCGGGGAGAGCGGCGCACGUGGGGAGAGGAUGCCAGAAGUGACGGGCGUGUGGCGCGGCAGGAGACGCGUCUAACCCUAAUCCCGCAUCUGUUAUGCGCCCACCGGACACUGUGAAAAUAGUGAAGGAUAAGGCCUCAGCACCUGCCCUCUCAGAGCUUGCCAUUUAGCUGGGAAGACUCGGUCUGUGGAGGAGCAUCGCCAGAAAGUGGGGAGUCUGGGUCUUAAACACGCCAGGUGGGUUUAGUCUCGUGAUGGAUUACAACAGCGGUGCCAGUUGUGGAGGUCACGGUAUCGCAUUUGGGCUGUAUCACUGGGCUUCUGUUUGGAAGUCUUCAGAACACACUGGCUUAAUGCAGGGUGUAAUCACAUACCUCUGUCAUCCACCUUGUUGGGAAGUUGAAACCAAAGGACUUCUGCCCUUUUCCAAAAAUCAGAUCCAACCUCAGCCUUAUCUCUUAACCCUGUGUUGUCCUGGGGUCCAGAUCUUAUCUCCCUUACCAAACAGAAACUUACUUGGAGACACAGUAAAUGUCCAAUUUAUCUUAUCUUUCACCCAGCUCCAGCUUGGUGCCUGGGAUAGAUAAAUGCCUAAUAAAUGUUAAGUUAAAACCAAAAAAAAAAAAAAAAAAAAAACCAAAAAAAAACAGAAACCUACUACCACAGAGGAUCUUGAAAGUGCUAUAAAUGCUGAAGUUGUUUCCAAGAGAGGUGUUCCAAAGGUGUUUUGAGUGAUCACAGUAUCACUGGACAAAGUAUCCAAUCUCUUAAGGUGAAGACUUUGAAGGAAGCAGGUCUCAUUUGGAUAUAAAUUCUGGUCUGCUUGUUAAAUGAUGCUUCACGUCAGGGCUUGGUCACACCUCGUCCACAUGAAAAGUCUGCAGCGCAGGACAGUGUGCAGGCACCGAAUGACGCACAAACGGUAAGCACUGGCUACUUAGUGUAACAACCAUCUGUUGUGUCCGUGAGCUUUGAGCACCAUAGGGGAACCCAAGGGAAUGCACAGUGAAAUCCAAGUUGCAGAGGCGACGUGCUCUAGCUCUUGAAGGAUAAAUGAGAGUUCGCUGAAUUGAGUCUGGAAGACUCACUAAGGCUGGUAGCCUGUACACGAGGGGAGUUUAGGAAAAGUCUAGUAAGCUGGUGUGGCUGGAGAACAGGAGGCGGGGAGGAUGGAUUACAACAGCGGUGCCAGUUGUGAAGAUCACUGUAUCCCGUGCUGAAGAGGGGGCAUCCAAAGGGCCCUUGAGACACAAGUGUGACAUAAUCGGCACCUCCAUCAGAAAGACCCCCCUCGACUAGACUGCAGGUGUUAGGGCUGGAUUGGAGAGUCAGGGUAGUGGUCCUGAGGCUGAGGAUGAGGGAAGGGGUCCAGGAAAUAGUCCAGAAGCAAAAUCAACAGAAAUGGUGACUAAGUUGGCUGUGAGGUGAGAGAGGAGACAAAAAUCACUGAGCUUUGACAGCUGAACGAUUGGUGGUACCAUUAACAAAGAUAAGAACUCAAACAAAGAGAGGACUAUGUUGGAUUGGAAGGUCAGUCCAGCUGGACUCAGAGGGGUGGGAGGAAGGUAGGACGGAGUCCCUUGGAGACAGGAAAGCAGCCUUCGGGCAGCCCACUCAGCACACACUGCUGAGAGGGUAUUUGGAGAUCAGACUGGCUUAUUCCCUCCAGACCCUAACUAUCCAAGACCAUAAAGGAUCAGAACCUCAGCCUCCCACAGGCUUAUAGAGAGCUCUGUGCCUUCAGGAAUCUCCCGUUCCCAAGCUGUUGUGGUCAUUCUGGAUAAAGGAAAGUUCUUAGAAGUCCCAAAGGUGAAAGACAGACUGUGAUUUUACACACAUGCCUGCCCUUUCAGGGGUAUUUACAUUUCUCAAGAGACAGGACUCAUUUGUUGACCUUCAGGAAUGAAUCUCUUGGUGGAAAUAUUUCAUGUCUGGAUAGAGCUAGAGAGAUGCACAUGGCUCCCCUCAAAUUACACCAUAAAAUCCACACCUCACCUCACCUCACCUCCUCGUGAUCCCAGCCACCUUACCCGGACCCACAAAUGGAUCCUGGUCGAGCUUCACAAAAGUUGUGCGGAAAGAAGACGGCACAGGCCACACCGUGCGGCAUGCGGGAUCUUAGUUCCCCCACCAGGGACCGAACCCAUACCCCCUGCAGUGGAAGCACGGAGUUCUAACCACGGGACAGCCAGGGAAGUCCCAAUCCUGUUUGUUUGUUUUUUAAUUUUUAUCUUAUAUUAGAGUAUAGCUGAUUUACAAUGCUGUGUCCUGCUUUUGAAAAAUAAAUGGAAAAGUAUCUUACAGGAUUGAACCCACGCCCCCGGCAGUGAAAGCGCAGUCCUAAGCACUGGACCGCCACGGAAUUCCCUCUAUUUGCUUUUUUUCCCUUAAGAAGACUCUUCACUCCAUACCACCUGAACUGCAUCUUGUGUUUUGAAGGACAAAACAGACCGACCUUUAUCAAAGCUGGAGUCUUUCAUUUCAUCUAUAGAAUAAAAGCGGUCUGUGACUUGAAAAGCAUCAUAUUAAUUCUGUUAUCUCUUCAUCCAAGAGAAAUGUGGACAAGAAUAGACUCCAGGUCUAGCAUCUAGGGGGCAGUGUGUGCUAGGGGCUGACUUGUCCUCCUCAUCCCACCCCCCAGUUCCUUAUGUUGAAGUCCUAAUCCCCAGUGCCUCAGAAUGUGACUGGAUCUGGAGAUGUCUUUACAGAGGUGAUUAAGUUAAAAUGAUUAAGUUAAAAAUCCAAUCUGCCUGGAUUAGGGCCCAUCCUAAUCCUCCUUAUAAGAGAGAUUAGGACACAGACUUCUCACAGGGGACACAGGGAGAGGAUGGCCAUCUGUAGGCCACGGAGAGAGGCCUCAGGAGAAACCAAACCUGCCUACACUUUGAUCUUGGACUUCUAGCCUCCAGAACUGUGAGAAAUAAAUUUCUGUUCAAGCCA